CACAUAUUGAAGUGUUUCCAUGUUCGUUUCACUUUGUCUUUUUAAAUCAAUGCGUCAGUAGCCAUUUUCCACCUUAUCUUUCUCCACCAUCGCUCUUAGUUAAUAAUUUUCCUUUUCAUCAAUAAGUUAGGUAAUCAUGAGGGAACUUUCACAAAAACCCUCCUACCAACAACUAUGUUCAGAUUCUCUGCCUUCUCUCCUAUUCCUAUGGCUGCCAGGACACUGCCUUCUCCUGGUUUUCUUCCUUUACAAUGGGUCACUCAUUCUCAGUCUUGAUUCUGGUUCCACUUCAUAUUCCCAAGCUCUGAAGUGUAGAGUGUCCCAGGAUUCAUCCUUAGACCUCUUAUUUUCUCAAGAGACAAUCAGUCUCUAGUGAUCUGAUCCAGUUCUGUGGGUUUCAAUGCCAUAUCUACACUGAUGCUUCCAAAUCUCCAUAUGAAACCUCUUUCCUAAACUUCAGAGGAAUGUGUCUAUUUGUCCACAUCAAAUCUCCACUUGGAGGUCUAACAGUUCUCUCAAACUCACCACGUCUGAUCUCCACUGCCCCCUCUCUCCAGUUGUUACUGUUGUUUUCAUCAUAGUAGCAUUACAGUAAGUUUUACUAUGUGGUAAUGCAGGAAUUCUUCCAUUGUUAUGUGUCAAUAUUUUCUUCAGGUUCUAUUGAAUAAUUGUACAAGUGCUCACACUGGGCUUACAAAGAUAUAAUUUUGAGCAAGUCACCUUCCCCUCUCUAAGACUCAUUUGGAAAAUCAGGUCAAUAGUUUUCAGUGCACUUUCCUUGGUGUUCCUGGAGAUUACUCUUACUUUAAUUCAAGCUCUAUUACAUUUCAUCCAGAUUCCCGGGCAUUUCUGUUGGCAUCACAGAAAAUGAUUUGGAAGAACAAGACUGUUUAAUACAUUUCUGGAACAGUGAGACACAAGAGGACAAGGCACAGACCAUACAGAUGGAGAGGAGGGGAAAAUAAGAGAUGAAUGAAAAUGAAGUGUGCAAAGGCAAAGCCUGUGCUCCUCCAUUCCAAAGCAGGAAUUAAAUGGUUUAAGUUUGUGAUGGCAGACCAUCUCCUACCACUGCUAUUCACUUAUAAGGAAGAGGACAAGAAAAUGUCCUGCCUUCAACUUAUGUUUGCAAAGAAUGUUUUAAGAUUGAGUUUGUAAUGCAUUGUGUAUUUCUCAGUGAAAAGGGAUAGUCCAGUUUAACAACUGUCCAUUUCACAUUUAGCAAUCUGUUUACACCAUCACAGCCCCCUAUUAUACGCCAAACUACGAAAGGCCUUGAAUGUCAGCCCCCAAAGGUCUUACUUUCUCUAAUAGCCAGCCUAAGGUUAGAGAUCACUCUUACUUUUGCACUUAAAUAAAU
rnacentral:lncRNA from 1 species